CGAGAGCGAGGUACAUGUGUUGGUCGAACACCAUGAAUUUUUCGAUCAAUUGAGACCAUCUUGGAUGAUAACACGCAUACAAAAAUUAAUGUAUUGAAGCAUUUUAGAACUCUUUGACAUCGAUAUUUUCGUUGAAUUUUGAAACAAAAAUCAAGAUGGAGCUUAGGGUUUUGGAGGAAUAGAUAAAUGAUGGCAAAGAGGUGGCACGGCGAAGGCUCAGUAACAAGGAGCGUAAAUUUAAAGGGGUUAGAUAUUAGGGUUUGGGGGUAGAUAUGUAUAUAUGUUGAAAAUAGUUAGGCCUUUAAUUA
rnacentral:lncRNA from 1 species